rnacentral:rRNA from 1 species
CCUACGGGAGGCUGCAGUGGGGAAUAUUGGACAAUGGGCGAAAGCCUGAUCCAGCCAUGCCGCGUGUGUGAAGAAGGCCUUCGGGUUGUAAAGCACUUUCAGUGGGGAAGAAAGCCUUGGGGCUAAUACCCUCGAGGAAGGACAUCACCCACAGAAGAAGCACCGGCUAACUCCGGGCCAGCAGCCGCGGUAAUACGGAGGGUGCGAGCGUUAAUCGGAAUUACUGGGCGUAAAGCGCGCGUAGGCGGUCUGAUAAGCCGGUUGUGAAAGCCCCGGGCUCAACCUGGGAACGGCAUCCGGAACUGUCAGGCUAGAGUGCAGGAGAGGAAGGUAGAAUUCCCGGUGUAGCGGUGAAAUGCGUAGAGAUCGGGAGGAAUACCAGUGGCGAAGGCGGCCUUCUGGACUGACACUGACGCUGAGGUGCGAAAGCGUGGGUAGCAAACAGGAUUAGAUACCCCAGUAGUC